rnacentral:rRNA from 1 species
CAGCAGCCGCGGUAAAACGGAGGGGGCUAGCGUUGUUCGGAAUUACUGGGCGUAAAGCGUGCGUAGGCGGUGAGCUAAGACAGAUGUGAAAUCCCCGGGCUUAACCUGGGAACUGCAUUUGUGACUGGCCGGCUAGAGUAUGGCAGAGGGAGGUGGAAUUCCACGUGUAGCAGUGAAUUGCGUAGAGAUGUGGAGGAAUACCGAUGGCGAAGGCAGCCCCCUGGGCCAAUACUGACGCUCAUGCACGAAAGCGUGGGGAGCAAACAGGAUUAGAUACCCCUGUAGUCCCUGUCUCUUAUAC